ACACGUAGGGGGCGAGCGUUGCCCGGAAUCACUGGGCGUAAAGGGUGCGUAGGCGGGCUGCUAAGUCCUGGGUGAAAGCCCCCGGCUCAACCGGGGAAGGGCUCAGGAGACUGGCGGUCUUGGGGGCCGGAGAGGGUAGUGGAAUUCCCGGUGUAGCGGUGAAAUGCGUAGAGAUCGGGAGGAACACCAGUGGCGAAGGCGGCUACCUGGACGGUUCCUGACGCUGAGGCACGAAAGCUGGGGGAGCAAACAGGAUUAGAUACCCUGGUAGUCCCAGCCGUAAACGAUGGGUGCUAGGUGUGGGGGGUGUAGGCCUCCCGUGCCGCAGCUAACGCAUUAAGCACCCCGCCUGGGGAGUACGGCCGCAAGGUUGAA
rnacentral:rRNA from 1 species